CCUACGGGUGGCAGCAGUGAGGAAUAUUGGUCAAUGGACGAGAGUCUGAACCAGCCAAGUAGCGUGAAGGAUGACUGCCCUAUGGGUUGUAAACUUCUUUUAUAAAGGAAUAAAACGAGGCACGUGUGCCUUUUUGCAUGUACUUUAUGAAUAAGGAUCGGCUAACUCCGUGCCAGCAGCCGCGGUAAUACGGAGGAUCCGAGCGUUAUCCGGAUUUAUUGGGUUUAAAGGGAGCGUAGAUGGGUUGUUAAGUUAGUUGUGAAAGUUUGGGGCUCAACCGUAAAAUUGCAAUUGAUACUGGCAGUCUUGAGUACAGUUGAGGUAGGCGGAAUGCGUGGUGUAGCGGUGAAAUGCUUAGAUAUCACGAAGAACCCCGAUUGCGAAGGCAGCUUACUAAUCUGUGACUGACAUUGAUGCUCGAAAGUGUGGGUAUCGAACAGGAGUAGAUACCCGUGUAGUC
rnacentral:rRNA from 1 species